rnacentral:pre_miRNA from 1 species
AGAAAGACAGCUGGGUCAAAUGGUGGUUCCAUUUCCAGUUUUCCAAGGAAUCUCCAUACUGCUUUCCAGAUUGGCUGCACCAAUUUGCAGUCCCACCAGCCAU